UCAACCCAGGUGCUCACCAAUGGUCAA
rnacentral:piRNA from 1 species